CAUGGCCUAAAGUAUAAUUCAUUUUAGAGGAAAAUGAAUUAAUAUUGACGCCCUGUUCUUUGUUUAGAUAUCCAAUUGUUCUCUCUCACAUCCAGAUUCUCUGUGACCACCAAACCUCACCCCACCUUACCUCAGCGCAGACCACCGUCGCUCGCCAUCGCCACCUCCACCGCCGCAAAUCACCACCGGCAUCGUCGCAUCCUCACAGAUUCUCUUUUGCUCUCUCGGUCUCGUUUGCAGAAUUGCUUCGUCUUGGAGGGAGGAAGUUGGGAUUUUUAAUCAUUAAAUGGAUUAUACCAAUUAUGCUUCUCAAAUAUUUUAUCCUUUAUGCCUUCCCUUUUGGUGGUG